rnacentral:rRNA from 1 species
UACGGAGGAUGCGAGCGUUAUCCGGAUUUAUUGGGUUUAAAGGGUGCGUAGGCGGGCUUUUAAGUCAGCGGUAAAAAUUCGGGGCUCAACCCCGGCCUGCCGUUGAAACUGGCGGCCUCGAGUGGGCGAGAAGUAUGCGGAAUGCGUGGUGUAGCGGUGAAAUGCAUAGAUAUCACGCAGAACUCCGAUUGCGAAGGCAGCAUACCGGCGCCCGACUGACGCUGAGGCACGAAAGUGUGGGGAGCAAACAGG